rnacentral:RNase_P_RNA from 1 species
GCUGCAGGUUCAGCUAUCGCCUCGAUUUAUCGGGGAGGAAAGUCCGGACAGCAAAGAGCAACCUACCACCUAACAGAUGGUCUUGUCGGAUCAAACCGAUGGGAAGAAAGUGCCACAGAAAAUAACCGCCCACGAAAGUGUGGUAAGGGUGAAAACGUGAGGUAAGAGCUCACGAUUGUAAUGGGCAACCAAUGCAAAGGGUAAACCUUAGGUGCUGAAAUGUCAAAUAAGUGAAUGCUUGAGGGCUGCUCGUCCGAUGUUCACGGGUAGACAGAUAUAUGCCUUCAGUGAUGGAGGUAACAGAUAAAUGAUAGCCAUCAACAGGCAACUGUUGUAAACAGAAUCCGGCUUAUGAACCUGCAGUUUUU